rnacentral:lncRNA from 1 species
AGUAUAAGGCCGUGUCUGUUUUUUUCUUUGUUUUGCGUCAACUGAUUCUGAGAAAACCUACCAGACAGCAAGGAAAAAAAACACACACAAAGAAAAUAACACAAGAGUCUGCUUAAGUUCUGGACUGAUUAACAGUGACUUUAGAUCAAUACUGUCAUAUCUAAGUGAAAGAGCAAACAUGACAAACAGGAAAUUUAGCAAUGUACAAACUUGAUAUGACUAUAUUCUGAGAAAUGGCCUUGGUAUUUCAAACAUUUCCCAUUUAUACUGAAGCCUUUGAGAAGAGACAUGUUUUGAUCUGAGAUGUGUCAUGUUGUAUUAAAACCUAUGUAUAAUCAAUAAUUCCCUGUAUCAAAUCAAUAAUGCUUUAAGCAUGAAUUAUCUCCCAUUUGCAGAGUUAUCUUCCUAUAAUUGGAAUACUUUAUGUAAACUUUUUGGCAAUAUAUUAAUAUUUUGUUCUGCAUACUUUUUUUUCA